AGCAGAUCACAGAUUGUUUGACGUCACGGACCUAGCUUGAUUGUUUCCAUGACUCACGUCGCUUCAGUCUCUGCCGUCCAAAGUAGUUAACUUACCAAGUCAAAGUUAGUUUAAACUUGAUUUUCUGUUUCUUUCUGAAGUUCUCAUUAAAAAUCACUUUAAAAGCCAUCUUCUGUUGUUGAACGGCAGACUAACGAGGCCGUUAGCAUUCUGCUAAUCAACGGUCGGCAGGUUUCAAACGGACCGGUCCAUGGAGCGGGUCAGCUUCAGCCCGUUAGCCUCCAAAGCAACGUAGGGAGGGGGGGUUAGAAAGACAUCCAUUAUAAAAACGGCCUUCUGACAGUUUACAGCUUGUUUUUAACUCUUUAUCUUAUUAAAGGUAAAACCAUUACAACAUCAUCAAAACAAUACCAACUCUGUGAGGCAGGUGGAGUGGCACCGACCGUCCUUACCCCCCCUCUCCUCUUCAGAUGGAUCCGUCCAUGAAGGGUCAGAGGUCAAGGGUGAAAUAAUAAAGUGAUAUCAGAACAGAGUGAGCAGAGAUGAAUGAAAACACAAUUAAACUGGAUCAUAAAGGACCAGAGGAAAGGGACUGCAAACGGACUACAGAGAGCCUCCCUUGUGUUCUGGUUCCUCCAUCUUCAACACAACCUGUGGCAUAAUCCCAAUCUGGACCAGGAAACCCACCAUCCAGAUAGACUUCAGAUAGACCUGUACUGCUCUGGAGCUCCCUCUGCUGGGCUCAGCCAUGCACACACGAGCAGUCAAGAUCAAUUUAAGAUCAUCAAGAAACCAUGGAUCAAACAAAGAGCAUACAACUGAAGAUCCCUCUGAAUUAUGUCUCAAGUAAAUGGAAUCAGUUUGAAAUCAUUCAUUGUUACUUAUCAUGAAAAACAUUAAAUAUAAAACAUCAUGUAGCCUCGUCUGA